rnacentral:rRNA from 1 species
AGUGAACGCUGGCGGUAGGCCUAACACAUGCAAGUCGAACGGCAGCAUAGUACGAGCUUGCUCUUACGGGUGGCGAGUGGCGGACUGGUGACGAAUACAUCGGAAUCUACUUUUUCGUGGGGGAUAACGUAGGUAAACUUCCGCUAACACCGCAUACGACCUACGAGUGUAAGCAGGGGAUCUUUGGACCUUGUGCGAUUGUAUGAGCCGAUGUCGGAUUAGCUAGUUGGCGGGGUAAAGGCCCACCAAGGCGACGAUCCGUAUCUGGUCUGAGAGGAUAAUGCACCAGACUGGACAUGAGACACGGCACAGACUCCUAGGGGAGAGCGAAGUGGGGAAUAUUGACCAAUGGUGGCAAGCGUGAUCCAGCAAUACCGCGAGAAUGAAGAAGACCAUCGGGAUGUAAAGCCCUUUUGUUGGGAAAGAAAAACAGCAGGUUAAAACCAGGCUGUUAUGACGGUACCAAAAGAAUAAGCACCGGCUAACUUCGUG